rnacentral:lncRNA from 1 species
AUGGCGUAAACAUCGCUAUUAUAUAUAUAUAUAUAAGAGUGCAGAAAUUGCCAAUAUUUUAUUUUUAUCGUAUCUAACUUUAAACUCAGUGGCGGAUUUAGCACUUGAGAGGCUCCAGGCGCAAUUCAAUUUUGAGGCCUCCCUCUAAUAUUUUCACUAAUCCUAAGCUCUAAAGUACGCAAGAUUUUUACUCUGGAAAAAUUAGAAGAAUUAUAGAUAAAGAAGUGAAUUAUCAGAAGAAAUAUAAACAUAAAUGAAUUUUAUUCCAUUAAAGUUCUAUCAAUUGAAUUGGCAUUGACAGCGAAGAAUAGUGAAGGGCCUAUAUAAAGAGAGAGGAACAAGUGCAUAACAACUUAGUGCAUAGCUAGAAACUAAAUUAAGACAUUUAAGAUAGGAACUGUUUGUAAGGUGACACAAGUUGGAUCUGAGUGACUGAGCAACUUGGAGAGGCUAAUGGACAAGUGCUGUAUCCCAGCCAAGCGUGUUGUUUUUGAGGGGACGUCACAGAAAGAACAACAUAGGAGUUGCUGUAACGAAGUACACACGUGUCGCAUUGAAUCUCUCCCUAGUGUUUCCCACGGCAUGAGACAUGAAGUUCCUUAAUGGAAGCACGUGUCUCUCUUUUACUUAUUUUCUACGUAAAAAGAAGAAAUUUAAAAAGAAAAAAAAAAAUAUAAAGUACAGAAAGGAAACAGAGUAACCCUCAAAACGAUGUUUGACGAAUUGAUCUCCUUUAUUUUGUUUAACCUUCUGACAAGUAAUUUAUGCUAAUAAGUCGCCGUGAGAUCACACAGAAUCGUUUCGACGAGAGGAAGAUGCCUAAUUGCUGAAGGCUACUGUAUAAGAUGAGGAAGAGAGAUGCUUACUUUAGGAGAAAAGAGAGAGAAGUGAGAAGGAGAUGUUUGCUUUAUUCUACGAGAGAGAUAGAGAAUGUGAUGCUUACUUUGAUGGAGGAGAGUUAAGGGAAAAAGAUUUUUUUCUUUAGAAGAAGAGGAAGAGGAGAAUUGUCUCGGAUGUUUAAACAGAUAAAUCACGCUAUUCGAAUGCAGUAAAGUGAAGGUAAAAAAAUUAGUUAUUGGAGACAGAUGCCACCUAUGGAAAUUUAUCUUUCGAUUACUCUGUUAAGUGGCUACAAACUGCAGGCGCCAGACAAACAAUGAAGGUCUAACACCACCCAGGUAGCAGAAUCAAAUACGGAUCUCCAACUGUUCGAACACCCCAGUUAAUGGCAACCUCCUGGAACGAACAGCUACUUCGCUGUUGGACCCCAGACUGGUAAGUGAUAAAACGGCUUGCCCCAAGGGGUCCUGGCAUCAGAUCGCUACUACUGGCGCCACGUGGUGCUUAUGCAUCCAGCUGUUGCUGUAGGGUAAUGCUCAUUUUCACUUCCCUAAUAUAGGUUUAAUGCCGGACAGACACAGGAUUAGCUAUUCAUUAUUUUCCAUUGGCCAAUAACUGAAAGGAGUGGAAUAAAUAAACAGAUCUUAAUGAAUUGUUAACUAAUGGGCCUUAAGGAUGGGAAAAUUGGUUCGAGUUAACUGAAUUUGUAAGAAGAUACGUCAUUUGUAUGGGAUUAGUUACGCGUGUCAUAAUAUAACAGGAGAGAAUCCUAUUUUUAGUUAGAAUGCUAAGAGUGAUUCAUCUUAAGUGAAGAAACGAUUAAAAUUAGAUUUUGAACAUAAGUAAUUAUGUCUAAAUAUCUUGCCGAUUAAGCAAUUAACUUUGAGAAGUUCUUAAGUUUAAGAAAGUAAAUAAAUAAACAAUUAGUUUCUCUAAACUUGGGGAUAAUGUCAGAAGAUGUAUGAUAGUUAAAGGUAAAAUAGCUAAAAAAAUAGAUUUAGAAGUGUAAAAAUCUAAAAAUUUCCAUACAAUACGUAAGAGAA